CUCCUUAGAGUUGAUGUGACAUCUUCCUU
rnacentral:piRNA from 1 species